GAUCAUGGCUCAGAUGAACGCUGGCGGCGUGCCUAAUACAUGCAAGUCGAGCGAACUGAUUAGAAGCUUGCUUCUAUGACGUUAGCGGCGGACGGUGAGUAACACGUGGGCAACCUGCCUGUAAGACUGGGAUAACUUCGGGAAACCGAAGCUAAUACCGGAUAGGAUCUUCUCCUUCAUGGGAGAUGAUUGAAAGAUGGUUUCGGCUAUCACUUACAGAUGGGCCCGCGGUGCAUUAGCUAGUUGGUGAGGUAACGGCUCACCAAGGCAACGAUGCAUAGCCGACCUGAGAGGGUGAUCGGCCACACUGGGACUGAGACACGGCCCAGACUCCUACGGGAGGCAGCAGUAGGGAAUCUUCCGCAAUGGACGAAAGUCUGACGGAGCAACGCCGCGUGAGUGAUGAAGGCUUUCGGGUCGUAAAACUCUGUUGUUAGGGAAGAACAAGUACGAGAGUAACUGCUCGUACCUUGACGGUACCUAACCAGAAAGCCACGGCUAACUACGUGCCAGCAGCCGCGGUAAUAC
rnacentral:rRNA from 1 species